rnacentral:rRNA from 1 species
CCUACGGGAGGCAGCAGUGAGGAAUAUUGGUCAAUGGGCGCGAGCCUGAACCAGCCAAGUAGCGUGAAGGAUGACUGCCCUACGGGUUGUAAACUUCUUUUAUAUAGGAAUAAAGUGAGGCACGUGUGCCUUUUUGUCUGUACUUUAUGAAUACGGAUCGGCUAACUCCGUGCCAGCAGCCGCGGUAAUACGGAGGCGCCGAGCGUUAUCCGGAUUUAUUGGGUUUAAAGGGAGCGUAGGUGGGUUGUUAAGUCAGUUGUGAAAGUUUGCGGCUCAACCGGAAAAUUGCAAGUGAGACUGGCAGUCUUGAGUACAGUAGAGGUAGGCGGAAUUCGUGGUGUAGCGGUGAAAUGCUUAGAUAUCAAGAAGAACUCCGAUUGCGAAGGCAGCUUACUAGACUGCCACUGACAUUGAUGCUCGAAAGUGUGGGGAUCAAACAGGAUUAGAUACCCUGGUAGUC